CAAUAAUUAAUGCUAAUGGACUUAAAUAACUAAAUAAAAUGUUUGGCUGAACUCGAAUUAGCCUCUCUCUAUUUAUUAUUGUUCCCAUUUGCUUUGGAUCCAACAAAUAUUAGAUUUUGCAAUAUAUGUAAGUAGAGGUCAGAGGUCUUUUAGGCGUUUCGAGACUCACUUGAUAAAUUUUCAGAUGUUUUGACAGUUGACUUCUUCGAAACCACGCUAUUAUUAUACAAAUAUUCGAGUUAAAUUGGAUAUGUUAAGCCCGAAAAUGUUUUGAAAAUACGACUAGAUAUUAUUUUCAAUUACUCGGGCAUAGUUCGUGUAGUCGGUUGAUUCUGUCAUCUUAAAAUUUUCACAAAUUCAUUGUAUAAUUUUGAAAUAUUCUUAAAAAGUUUUAAUUAAUUCCAGUUAUUCUUCAUCUCUACAAAAAAAUUAAGUCCCUUAACAUCACUUCCGGUCCAACUAUAAAGAGGUAAGGUUUCCAAUUAAAUUUCGACAAAAUUAAGCACUGAAACAUGGUCAUCCCUUUAGAGAUACAUAUGUUUAAUUAUCAGUUAUAUGAAAAAGCAAUAAUGUUGAAAUACUGAUAUUUGCAAGUCAGGUGAGUGUUCCUUAGAAAUUAUUUUGAAAUAAUAGUUCUUCGUUACAGUGUGGGUUUUGAGUAUUUCGGACGCUCUGAUGUGAGGAAAUUGUCUUAAAUUUAAAUUUUUCGCAUACAAUAAAAUUUAUUCAUUUGAAAAUAUUCAUCAAUUUUCUUAUUAUCGGCUUUUAUAAUAUUGCACCAAAAAAAAUGGAGUAGCGUUAUUUGGCUAGGGUAUAAAGUGAAUCAGACAAUGUCCAAAAAUAAUUGUAGCACAGCCCCUUUUGAGCAAAGCGCAUAUGUUCUACGGAGCGAAACAAAAGUUAUAGGGACAGGUUUAGGUUGAACUUUAGGACGAUUAACUUUACUUUGAAAAAUUUAUAUUAAUUCGCUUCCCAGAAAAUGUUGCAACAAAUAUUAAGGGCUAAUGCCCUGUUUGAAGUAAGAACCCGCCCGCCUCGCAAUUAUUCACUAGAGCGAAAGCUGUUUUUUUUACAGAAUGAUUUCGAGUUAAACCCCUAUCCAGAUAUAAUUACUAUAAAGGCGAUGGCGAUUGUCUUAGGCCUUAGCGAAUCUGACAUAUAUAAUUUUUUCUACACUCGCCACCGAGAACGUAUGCCCCCAAUGGCGAUUCCUUAUUGCCAAACGCCGAGAGCUAUUUGCGACAUUCCGUGCAGAGCUGAAGAAUCUAAAGUGCCCUCGAAAAGUAAACGGGAUGUUUUAAUAGAAUUACUAAAGCUUAAUGAACUGUACGGCAGGGAAACAAUCGAACGAGCUGACAAUUUAUGUUGGGAUCCGGAUAUUGACUUAAGUUUUCUGGAACCUGAAAUCGCCGCCGCCGCCAACAAUGUGGUUUCGAAUGAUUUUUUAGAUGUUAAUUUAUUAAGACCCACUCUAGAGUUCAUUAAUCCUAAAAAUUGUACUUUCGGGAAUUUCCAAAAUGGUGGAGAUUGCUGCAGAAUAAGUCGGCGCUGUUGAUAUUGAUUUGACUUACUCCAAGUAAUAAGUUAUCAAUUUUUAUAAUUAUUUCCAUUUAUUUUAAAUUUAAAAUAAUGUUGCUUACUGACAUUAGGUAAUAUGAAAAUAUUAAAAAUGUUAUUGCUAGAAUUAUGUGCUAAAAAAUAUUUAAAUUCUUAUUGGACCAUUAUUAUUCAUUAUUACCCACGUGGCUUCUCCGAGUAUCGCUAAAAAGAAGAAAGAAGACGUUGCCUACAAUUAGGCAAAGCUGCCUCGCCUAAUUGUAGGCAACGUUUUCUCCGUUUAACUUAAACACUCGGCAUACAUUGCCUACAUUUUGGGUGGUAUGAAAUAAAAACCAAAAUAAAUAAAUACCAAAAAUAAAUUAAAAAUAUUAUUUUGAUCGCUGUGGGCUAACAUGAACGUAAUAAUUUUUCCAGAGAUAAAGAAAAUCUUGAAAUAUUUUAUAUCGUCCAUAGUGACGUAAUUUAGUACGCUGACAAUUCUUUAUAAUCUCUGUGAGGAAGAUCUUACAGGGUUUGGUUUUGUUACAAAUUUCGUUGACGAUUUUUACACAUUUUCCAGAGAGAAUUAUUGUACGGCGAUGUAAGAAAAAUCGAGAAACUAUGAGAAUACAUUUCUCAAUCCGUGUUGCGAUAGUGGAGAUUCUUUCUUCCUGCAUUAAAUAUAUUUUUUAUAAUACUUCAUCUGCGUUGGGUAUGGGUAUAUGGUAUAUGGUAUACCUAGUUUUUUUCUGACUAUUAGUUUACGAAAGCUCUAUUCUUGGUCUGCGUUUCGUAACCCAAAAAGCUUUGAAAGAGUUCUAGAAUGAACUUGUUCGUUUAUACGCUGUGCUAUUGAUUUGAUUAAAGCCAAAAAAACAAUUACUUAUCUUUAGGGAAGAACCUAUAGUCAAUUUUACGAUUAUAGGGUUUACCAACAAGAACUACGUGAUGUUAGAUUUAACGAAACACUCAGUUUUGGUCAAAAUUGAAUUCUGUUUCUCUUUCUGUUUUAGUUAAAAUGGUAAGUGCAUAUCAUUUAUGAUAAUACUAACGGCAUUUCUUGACUCAUUUUGAAAGAAAUAAGUUCCGAUGAUGCCGUCAUACCACUAUCUGCACUAAAGAGUCAAUUUUUGGGAAAGAAAUUGUGUUUGCUGCACCGCACAAAGAUUUGACUCACUAGAAUUACCGUCUGCCCAUCUGUAUAUGUAUGUAUGUAGGUUGCCUUUGGUAUUUUUGUCUUACAGUAACUUAAAAUAUUCUUUUCAACAAGCUAGCAUUAUAUAUUGUAUGAAUAUUUAAUUUUAGAAAAUAAAUUUUUUACGUGGAAUCCCACAAAAUUUGUUGAUACAUAGCUCAUGUCAAUCGGUCCAAACAAGCCCGAAAGCCCAUACCUGUGGACGGUAUGGGUGUUUCAAGAUGAGUAAAAAAUCCAACAAAAUGUGUUCGGGCGCGUAGCACUUCCAGCAAAUAGGUACAUGUUCGUUUUGUGGGAAAACUGGACAUAUCGCUAGCAUACGACUAGAUGAACGGAGAACAGUGAAUUUUGUGUGAUACACAACCAUCUGUUUGCCAGUUGUCUUUCAAGAAAUCACGAAAACUAACCACCGAAUAUGGAUCUCUCCUCACCACGAUAAAGCGAGCUCUCAAGCAGCGACUGAAACAACUGGAUUUUUUAGCAUUCAAAUCAUCGAUUUGAUGAGUCAUAUCCAUUAGUCCUGACUUUUUUACGACACCUGAAGAAGCGGUUGAUGCGUUUAAAACGCAUGUCUUGAAGAUACGUCAAUCGGAUUGGCAAAAAUGUUUCGACAUUUGGUUCAAACACAUGCAAAAAUGGCUAGAUCUUAAUGGAGAAUAUUUUGAAAAACAUAUGUAAAAGCGAUUUUCGAGAGAUAGAAUUUGUUUCGUUCUCGAAUGCCGAACAUAAAGGCAACCUGCGUAGUAGUCCCUCAGUUUUGGACAUAUCGUCCUUUUCUCACCAAGAAACUACUCAUUUAUCGGAAUCGCCGACAUCGGACAACUAUUGCAUAUAGCUGCUAUACAAACUGAAAGAACAAAAUCAAGUGCGUGUAUGGUUAGCAUCUUCUUUUGACGAGAUUUUCAUGGAACUCACCGAUCCAACUCAAGCACUUGUUAGGAAUCUUCUAUAUUUGUGAAGGGUAUUAAAGCUGCUACCGAAACUAACGUUUUUUUUGUUUUUUCAAAUAAGAAAGUCUUUCCCUACUUUUUGCAGCAGUAAUCAUGUGAAAUGCCCUACAAAGUGCUCCGGAGUGAAUUACCAG
rnacentral:lncRNA from 1 species